rnacentral:rRNA from 1 species
CAGGCCUAACACAUGCAAGUCGAACGGCAGCGCGGGGAGCUUGCUCCCUGGCGGCGAGUGGCGGACGGGUGAGUAACGCGUGGGAAUCUGCCCGGUGGUGGGGGACAACCCGAGGAAACUCGGGCUAAUACCGCAUACGUCCUACGGGAGAAAGGGGGCCUCUGCUUGCAUGCUCUCGCCAUCGGAUGAGCCCGCGUCCGAUUAGCUUGUUGGUGGGGUAAUGGCCUACCAAGGCGACGAUCGGUAGCUGGUCUGAGAGGACGAUCAGCCACACUGGGACUGAGAAACGGCCCAGACUCCUGCGGGAGGCAGCAGUGGGGAAUAUUGGACAAUGGGCGCAAGCCUGAUCCAGCAAUGCCGCGUGUGUGAAGAAGGCCCUCGUUGGUUGUAAAGCACUUUCAGUGGGGAAGAAAAGCCGGGUGCCAAUACCAUCCGGCCCUGACGUUACCCACAGAAGAAGCACCGGCUAACUCUGUGCCAGCAGCCGCGGUAAUACAGAGGGUGCGAGCGUUAAUCGGAAUUACUGGGCGUAAAGGGCGCGUAGGCGGUCUGGUAAGUUGGGUGUGAAAGCCUCGGGCUUAACCUGGGAAUUGCAUUCAAUACUGCCGGACUGGAGUAUGGUAGAGGGAAGUGGAAUUCCGGGUGUAGCGGUGAAAUGCGUAGAUAUCCGGAGGAACACCAGUGGCGAAGGCGGCUUCCUGGACCAAUACUGACGCUGAGGCGCGAAAG